AUCCGAAAUGCCAUGCUUAAAGAACAAAAUUGAUAAUUCUAAAGAGCAAAUCAAUGAGACUACUUCACGGAAUGAGGUGAAGCUAGCAAGGCUAAAUCUCACUCAACAUGAAAAUAUUGAAGAGGGUGAACAAUAAUCUGAUGAAAAUGUUGUUGACACGGAUGAAGGUGAAGUAGGUCCGAGUGAAGUCAAAAUUGAAAUUGAAAAUCCAAAUGUUCCUACUAUUGAAAAAAGUGCUCAAGAUUAUCAAUUGGUGAGAGAUAGGAAAGAAGGCAAAUCAAACCAAAUCCAAGAUAUGAAAUAAAUAAUUUGACCGACUUUGCCUUUAUCUCGGUUGAAUCUUUAGAGUAUUCAGAACCUUCAUCAUAUGAAGAGGCUAUGAAUAGCUCUAACUCUGAAAAAUGGAAAGAUGCAAUGAAAGAAGAAAUGAAAUCUUUACUUGAAAACAACACGUGGAAAUUAGUAAAGAAACCCAAAAAUCAAAGAGUUGUUCAAUGUAAAUGGAUUUUCAAACUAAAAGACGGGAUUGUGUCAUCUGACCCUUUGAGAUAUAAAGUGAGGCUAGUAGCCAAAAGAUUUACUCAAAAGGAGGGUGUUGACUACAAUGAGAUCUUCUCACCGGUUGUCAAAUAUAAGACCAUAAGGUUGAUGCUUGCACUAGUUGUCCAGUUCAAUUGGGAACUCGAACAAUUAGAUGUCAAGGCGGCCUUCUUACACGGUGAAUUAGAUGAGGAGAUCUAUAUGAAUCAACCUCAAGGGUUUGAAUUGAAGGAGAAGGAAGAUUAUGUGUUCUAGUUGCAAAAGUCAUUUUAUGGGCUCAAACAAAGUCUAAGGCAAUGGUACAUUAGGUUUGACACAUAUGUGUUGAAGAUUGGUUUCAAAAGAAGUGAAUAUGAUCAUUGUUUAUACUAUAAUAACACUAAGGCUGGUAGUGAAGUUUAUUUACUUCUAUAUGUUGAUGACAUGCUAUUGGCUAGCUCUAGUAAAUCUGAAAUUUUGAGACUUAAAGGGCUUCUAAAAUCAGAAUUAGAUAUAAAGGACUUGGGAAAUGCCAAGAAAAUUUUAGGAAUGGUAAUCAAUAGAAAUAGACAAAAUAACAUUUUAACUAUAACACAAAGUGCUUAUUUGAACAAAGUUGUAACCAAGUUUAGCAUGAAAGAAGCUAAGAAAGUUAAUGUGCCUCUUGCAGCCCAUAUGAAUUUAUCAUCAUCUCAGUCUCCUAAAACUGAAAGUGAAAUGGAAGAAAUGAAAAAUAUCACAUAUGCUAAUGUCAUAGGAUCAGUCAUGUUUUCUAUGAUUACCACUAGG
rnacentral:lncRNA from 1 species